rnacentral:rRNA from 1 species
GACGUAGGUGGCGAGCGUUGUUCGGAAUCACUGGGCAUAAAGCGCACGUAGGCGGCCAAGUCAGUCAGGUGUGAAAUACCUCGGCUCAACCGAGGAACUGCGCUUGAUACUGCUUGGCUUGAGGUCCGGAGGGGAGAGUGGAAUUCCCGGUGGAGCGGUGAAAUGCGUAGAGAUCGGGAAGAACGCCGGCGGCGAAAGCGACUCUCUGGUCGGAAUCUGAUGCUGAGGUGCGAAAGCUAGGGGAGCAAACGGG